rnacentral:lncRNA from 1 species
UGUCAUACCAGAAAAUGAGCUUGACCAAGGGGUCAAUGAGACCAAUGCCGGAACCUGCAUUGAAGAUGGAAGAGUGUCACUGUUAAAGUCGCAGGACGCAGCUUGGUCCUCACUGUAGCCCAGGAUGCUCUUGAGGGGGCAUCCUCCAAUGCCUGCUUCAUCACCUUUUUUAUGUCAUUGUCUUUG